GACGAACGCUGGCGGCGUGCUUAACACAUGCAAGUCGAACGGAAAGGCCCUGCUUUUGUGGGGUGCUCGAGUGGCGAACGGGUGAGUAACACGUGAGUAACCUGCCCUUGACUUUGGGAUAACUUCAGGAAACUGGGGCUAAUACCGGAUAGGAGCUCCUGCUGCAUGGUGGGGGUUGGAAAGUUUCGGCGGUUGGGGAUGGACUCGCGGCUUAUCAGCUUGUUGGUGGGGUAGUGGCUUACCAAGGCUUUGACGGGUAGCCGGCCUGGGAGGGUGACCGGCCGACAUGGGGCCUGAGGGAGGCCCCAGCCUCCAAGGGGGGGAAAUGGGGGGAAAUAUGACAAAGUGGGGGGACGCGUGAGGCAACACCCCCGGGGGCGGAAUACCGGCCUUGGGGUGAAAAACCACUUUGGCCGGAAACAAGGGGGGAGUGACGGUAAGGGAUAAAAAAGCCCCGGCUAACUACGUG
rnacentral:rRNA from 1 species